UACGAAGGGGGCUAGCGUUGCUCGGAAUUACUGGGCGUAAAGGGCGCGUAGGCGGAUAGUUUAGUCAGAGGUGAAAGCCCAGGGCUCAACCUUGGAAUUGCCUUUGAUACUGGCUAUCUUGAGUUCGGGAGAGGUGAGUGGAAUGCCGAGUGUAGAGGUGAAAUUCGUAGAUAUUCGCAAGAACACCAGUGGCGAAGGCGGCUCACUGGGUCAUUACUGACGCUGAGGCACGAAAGCGUGGGGAGCAAACAGG
rnacentral:rRNA from 1 species